AAAAAAACCAAACGACAAAUAUAACUGGGCCUGUCAAAUUAGAGACAUAUUAUACAUGUAUGGGUUCCAGGAUAUUUGGUUAUAUCAGGGUGUAAAAAAUGUGGAUUUGUUUUUAAGUGAAUUCAAAGAUAGAGUAAAUAAACUCAUCAUAGAUACCAGGACUAAAUUUAGUAUAUACACCAGACGCGCGUUUCGUCUACAAAAGACUCAUCAGUGACGCUCGAAUCCAAAAAAGUUAAAAAGGCCAAAUAAAGUACGAAGUUGAAGAGCAUUGAGCACUAAAAUUCCUAAAAGUUUUGCCAAAUACAGCCAAGGUAAUCUAUGCCUGAGGUAGAAAAGUAAUGGGUAGCUUUCAUAGUGAAAUUAACUCAUUUUUUGAAGACUCGCCAAAAUGUAUGUUGUAUAGAUAUGUAUUUGACCC
rnacentral:lncRNA from 1 species